rnacentral:rRNA from 1 species
AGAGUUUGAUCCUGGCUCAGAACGAACGCUGGCGGCAGGCUUAACACAUGCAAGUCGAACGCACCUUCGGGUGAGUGGCAGACGGGUGAGUAACGCGUGGGAACGUGCCCUUCAGUUCGGAAUAACCCAGGGAAACUUGGGCUAAUACCGGAUACGUGCGAGAGCAGAAAGAUUUAUCGCUGAAGGAUCGGCCCGCGUCUGAUUAGCUAGUUGGUGGGGUAAUGGCCCACCCAAGGCGACGAUCAGUAGCUGGUCUGAGAGGAUGAUCAGCCACAUUGGGACUGAGACACGGCCCAAACUCCUACGGGAGGCAGCAGUGGGGAAUAUUGGACAAUGGGCGCAAGCCUGAUCCAGCCAUGCCGCGUGAGUGAUGAAGGCCUUAGGGUUGUAAAGCUCUUUCACCCACGACGAUAAUGACGGUAGUGGGAGAAGAAGCCCCGGCUAACUUCGUGCCAGCAGCCGCGGUAAUACGAAGGGGGCUAGCGUUGCUCGGAAUCACUGGGCGUAAAGGGCGCGUAGGCGGCCGAUCAAGUCAGGGGUGAAAGCCUGUGGCUCAACCACAGAAUUGCCUUUGAUACUGUUCGGCUCGAGACCGGAAGAGGUUGGUGGAACUGCGAGUGUAGAGGUGAAAUUCGUAGAUAUUCGCAAGAACACCAGUGGCGAAGGCGGCCAACUGGUCCGGUUCUGACGCUGAGGCGCGAAAGCGUGGGGAGCAAACAGGAUUAGAUACCCUAGUAGUCC